UUUGUAGAUAGACCCGACGAGGUGUCGCUCGACCCCUCCCGCAAAGGCAACGAGCUCCUCCGCCGCGGCGUCACUGCCGGCUUCGUCAGCGAGGUUAGCCCAGCGCACCUCGCGCUGAGUUCAUGGUGUGUUGGCUGCCGGCUUUACUCCCGAGGCAAAAGUCUGAAGCCUGCGAAUCGCCCGAGUCGUCGUUGUUAGAGCUAAUUUUGUGAUAUACUAGCAAAGAGAUUAUGUAUAGAAGAAGUAGAAACCAAUUUGAGUUUGGCAAAAUAUAAUAUUAGGAUAAUCAUUGUGUCAAUAGUACUAGCAGACUAGCAGCCCUUUUAGACCAUUUUGGUCAUAGGUGACUUGGUAGUUGAGGAAGAUGAGUUGUAGUUUCCAGCGCGCACACAGGACACAGGCAGGCUGGGUAUUGAUCACUGAAAAAAUAGCAUCCUAUAGCGCGUUAUAUCACGUUAAUAGCAUAUUUUCAGAGGCGGCGCUAUUUUGUGUAGCGUGCUAUUUUUUCCUUGCUAUUGAUUACUGUAGCACCACCCGAACAGCCUAUGUAAUAAGCUGGCAGCCUAUAUAUAUACUUCUUCGAGAGAAUUCUGGGUGAGAGCUACUGGAGUAAGAUGUAAGCUGUUGUCGGAGUAAAUGGCCACGGGUAGCCUAACCGACUCCUCCUGGCUCUUUGAAAAAUUAUCAGGCCGAUCGGGCCUUCAAGCAUCCAAAACACAGGGCCGCAUUCCCCUGAUCGGCUAUCUCACAGGCCGACUACCGGAAGGCGACCCGACCUCAAAAAACCUUCCCGAAGAUAACCAUAAGAUGGCCGAUUCCCAGCAGCCGGCCAUAAGUAGACCGACUCCCAGAGGCCGGCCAUAAGAUGACCGACUCCCAGACGCCGGCCACAAGAAGACCGACUCCCGGAAGCCGGCCAAGACUGCACCCACCAGGGCUGCACCCAUAUAACGGUGAUGAGACGGGGCGUGGCCACAGUACAGCCUGCCACCCCCGAAUCCCGGAGCAUGCAUGGCCAUAGUGCGCCGUACGGGUCAGCCAUCCCCCGUCCGGCGCGGCACUGUUGCCAUAUUGACCGUGACGCCACCCACGACAGGCGCCAGUACGGCCCGCGGGCGGCGGGCCCCUUCAGCCAGAGAGACACUCGAAGGCGGCCAGGCCUCCCCUAGUCGGCCUGGGGCGUAGCCGGCUAUUGGGAGCCAAGACGAGGUGAGGCUACAGUGAGAGCCCGCCAGGCGGCGGCACUAUAGCCAUGCUUACCUCGACAAAGCCCUCGUCAUCAAGGGCGAGGCAACAGUAACCAGCCACCGACAAGACCCCCAAGCGGUGGGGCCGGCCUGUCGACCAAGAGGCCGGCAGCCGGCGGGACCCACCAGUCGGCGGAGAAGCCGGCGAACCCAAACACUGAUGGCUGGGACCCGCGCCCAGCCAGAUUACCAUUGUAUCCUUGGGGUAGGCCUAUAUAAACCCCCAGGGCACCCAUGCAAAGGGUUGAUCUCUGAGAUAGUUUUAGACACCACGUAGAGAGAAGAGGAGAGCUAGCCUUGCCUUUCUUCUUCUUCUAGCCAAACAGCUCAAGGAGCACUUGUAGUUACUUGUGUUGAUCUAGUGAUCAUGCGGAGACCCCGCAGAGCAGGACUAGGGGUGUUAUCUCCACGGAGAGCCCCGAACCUGGGUAAGAUUCGCCGGCGUGCAUGUCUUUGCCUUAUCCCGUUUCCAGGCACCGGCGAUGUCUUACUGACUCCCACAAUGAUAAGCCACCCGUUGGCAUAUGUCACACCUACCACCCGACAGCUGUAGGCUGUAGCAGUCAAAAUAUGUAAUGAAACUUCCCCCUUUGUAAGUAACCACGUCUCCUUAGAGAGAAUUCUGAUGAGAGCUACCAGUUCUCUAAGUGGAUUUAUUUUUUUGAGACACGGUUCUAAGUGGAUUCUAGUGAGAGAACCUAGUAUAUCUAACAGUCCUGGGUGAGAAGCUAGCAGUUCUGACAGCCUUGGAUGGCCUGCUUUGCACAAUAGCGGUAACAAAGUAGACUCUGUGUCACGACAGGAAAGGCGUCGCGAUUGUCACGCACCUCCCUCGUGACCAUGGCCAUAGCGCCACCAGGUUGCCGUCUUCCUAGACCCCGAACACGCCUCUCCACCGUCAUAUUCCUGCUCUAGACCACAAUCCUCCAAUCAAAGCUCGGAUGUAGAUUUGCGAAGAUGGCUUCUUUCACCGGAUAAGUGUAUGGAGUUCUAUGGCGUCACACAUGGUUCUGAUGUUCACCAGAUGCCUUUUUUUUAGCUCGUUUUAGUUCAUAAUUCAAGUUUAUUAAGUGUUUGUUGGUUUAAUUUCAGUACAUUUAUGUUUAAUAUGGCAUUGUUAUAUGUAAUUAACCCUUAAGUUAUCUAAAUCUAAUUUAAAAUUGCUUUUGAACAGACUAUUUGUGUAAAUUUAUGUUUUGGAGGUAAACUUGGAGGAAUGGCUAGGUGCACAAAACUAUUAUUGCUCAAAUUUUGAGUAAUGAAGUGUAAGGGGUUAUUUGAGGAGUUAAAUUUGAAGGGGAGUGCUAGAGAUUCCAUCUGGGGAUUGCUGCGUAAAUGGAUUAUUGUGAUCAACUCCAUGAAAAAUUUGAGUAGUUAAAUUUUAAGGGGUCUCAGUGUCAUUUGAGAAGCUAAAUGUUAAGCGAAGGACGAAAGAUAGAUGCUGGAGACUUUCUGAACUAGUCAGUGCAACAAUAUCUCCAAUUCACGCAAGCAUCACACUACAUAUUUUUAUUCUUGUUUUUCCUUGCGUGCAGGUACCGAAUCUCGUGGGCAUUCUGUGUACCGCUGUGCAAAUCUGUGUGUACGCCUACUUGAUACUAUCCCGCAAGAUCCGCAUCUACUCCUUCCAAACUGAUGACGCAGUGGACUAUGGCUACGAGAUGGGAAAGCUCUUCGCGUUGCCUCCAGUGUAGGUCUGCCGUCUGCGGCGGCAAAUUGAGACUUGUGUUUAUUGACAACGAGGCAACUCAAAACUUUUAAAUUCUGAGCGAACUAUGAGAGUAUUUCGGUGGAUGGUCGAUCUAUCACUGAUCGAUCGAUAGCAGGCUCCCGUAUGAACCCGACUUGCCACAAAAAACAGAAAACACAGUUUUUAGUAAAAAAAAACAAAUUUGAAAUCUGUUCAUUUGGGACUAAAACUUGAAAUUCAGUUCUGUGGACUAUUCCUGAUUUCCUGCAACUCCAGUUUUAUGUAUGUCACUUUCGUAGUGUUUGAACUGCUCCUGUCAGUCAGAUCUCUGUUGUGUUUGCAAUGUUCAAUUCAUUCCGAUGCAUCAUGCAUGUCGAAAUUAGUGGUUGUGGAAGAUGAAAAUGGCCGAAGUAGAAUCAAACAACCUGGAGAAGUAGUUUGUUCUGGCAUGUCUCAUUCUGCACAACCUGAAGGAGAAGUUGUUUGUUCUGGCAUGUUUCAUUCUGCACAACCUGGAGGAGAAGUAGCCGGAGAAAGUGGUUGAAGACAGCACCAACAACCAGGGCAUGGUGUUUCGGCAUAGAGAAACCUUCUCUCCCUCAACUGUUGUGGGGAUUUGGAUCAUUUGCCACACUUUACAUGUGUGGAUCAAAUUUGUCCAACUGUUGUUUAACUCUAGAAAGGGUCCUUCGUCAACCCAAAACUAUAGGAAGCUUAUUCCCUAUUUUUGGCCAACGAAAAAGAAGUAUUAGUCACUCAAUUUGUAAAACCAGACAUAAUAUAUGCGCCUAAAAAACGAUCUCACUUAAGUCGAUUUUGCCAAACCAAGGAUCCAACGGCUUCCCUGUUUUCCUCCGCCCUCGCCUGGCCUUAAUUAGCAAAGUUGCUAUAUAAUCCGAGCGGCGGUUGCCGCCAAAAGUUUCUUUGCUUUCGCGGGCAACACCGCAGUUAGCCGUGAAAUCACCCCGUCCACGUGUAUACUGUCGGAAAUCUCGAUCAUAGUAGCCGGAAACGGGGAACGGUGGGCCGUCCCUCGAUCCGGAUUCAUCGACCCAGAAUCAGAUUCGGGAACGAGGGUCGAUUCGGUAAGAUUCGAUGCGGAUUCGGCGUUUCCGCAGCUGGGAUCAUCGAUUCAGGUUCGGCGACUCGACAGUGUUGGUUCUUGAAUCGAUCGAGUAAGCAAAAGGUCAGCCAUAUCAAUCACGAACUCCUUGUUUUACUCUCUUCCCCGUUCUUUUCCACUCCCCUAAGUAACUCCACGUUCUGCUCUCCAUUACUCCAAGGCUGCUAAUAAAUUUUUCAUUGGGAAGGAGAUGAUUUAUUUUAGUCUUCAUGGAUCGACGAUGCAGCCAGUUGCUCCCAGCCCAGCCAGUUCCCUAUAUAAGUACUCCCUCGGUCCCUCCCAGCCAGUUGCUCCCCGCAUCCAGCGACCAAAGGCGCAUGCAGCAGUAGAAAUUCAGAUUCACGUUCCUCGUUCCAUGGUACCGUACCGGAUUCAUCGUACUGGAAUGGAUUGGAUCGCGUUUUCGCUUUAAAAAAAAUCGUUUUAGAGAUGUAUACCCCUGCUGUACCCUAUUUUUUUCAGCCUCCGACUCUCGUCCCCCGUUCCCGUUCCUCGCUCCCACCGUACCGGAAACAUGGCAACUAUGAUCUCGAUCAUUUCGAGACAGCCGAUCAACUAUAUUUCACCGCUCCUUCAUGAAUGGUUUGCAAGCCAGAAAGAGCAAGUAAUUAAGCAAGAUUUGCGUAAAUAGCACUAACCUUGAGGAAGAUUGAAGGAGGUCAAGGGCGUCGAGCGCUUCGGUGGUGAGCACAAAGUCACCAACCGCAGAAAGCUAGACCCAUUCCGCAGGAGAAGAGCGAGACAGAGAGAUAGAGAGAGCGGGUACCCUUGUUUGCAGGCGAAAACUUUAUUCAUAAGCGCCCAAAGUUGACUUGACUUGGUGUGGAUCGGUCACCAUCUUAGUUUUUUUUAUUACAACAGCUCCAUCUUAGCUAAUGAUCUAGGCCCACGGGUGGAGCCAGCUGAUGGGCCGUUGUGCCCACCGAAACCCUUUGUGAAUAAUUGAGAUAUAUACUAUCAUUGCCCAACAUAAAUAAAAAUGAGAAAAACAUACGAGGACAAGAAUAGUUUGGCAGCACAACUUUUUUUUUUGCGGAUGGCAGCACAACCUUUUCAAAUCGGUAGUAAUCUGUAAUCUUGGUAUUUCAAUGACCGUGCAAUGAAUACUACUCCUCCCGUCCAAUAAUUUAAGAGUGUUUGACACUACAAACGCUCUUAUAUAAUGGGACGGGGUGACUAGUUACUAAAACCACAUUUUCCUUUAGUCAGUUAUGGAAAAAAACAUGAUAUUGGCGUUACAAUAAUAUAUAAAAGCGUUAUAUUUAAGACCCCGAUAAAUCAUGAACGUUCGGAUUUCAAGCAUGUCAUCCCGAAUGUUUUUUCAUGACAACUUCAGUUGUUAAAACAUGGCAACUUUGUCCCAGUUUGUUUUUUGUCAAAAAAAAUUCCAUGCUUGCCAGUCUCACGUGAACUGAAGUUGCCAUGAAAAAUAUUUCUGGUUGCCAUGCUUAAAAUCCGAACGUUCGGGAUUUAUUAUUUCGGUAUAUUUAUUGAUAUCAAACACAACAAAGUACUUAAAACUGUGGUUUCUACAAAAUCCACGGUAUUGCAAGCCCAAGGCCACGGAUGCGCCAGAUGCCAUCACUGCAAAGGCAUGCCGAGGUCGAGGGACGACAUGCCUGCCGUGAAAGGGAAUAGGCGUGUCAUAGCGGCAGCCGGCGACAAGGAUGCCAGUGCCUGGAUCCCGGCGUAGCGGCAAGCUCAUGUUGCCCGUGCCCUCGCGGUAGAGCAAGACUCGGCCGCCCGUGCAACAAAUGUAGANNNNNNNNNNNNNNNNNNNNNNNNNNNNNNNNNNNNNNNNNNNNNNNNNNNNNNNNNNNNNNNNNNNNNNNNNNNNNNNNNNNNNNNNNNNNNNNNNNNNNNNNNNNNNNNNNNNNNNNNNNNNNNNNNNNNNNNNNNNNNNNNNNNNNNNNNNNNNNNNNNNNNNNNNNNNNNNNNNNNNNNNNNNNNNNNNNNNNNNNNNNNNNNNNNNNNNNNNNNNNNNNNNNNNNNNNNNNNNNNNNNNNNNNNNNNNNNNNNNNNNNNNNNNNNNNNNNNNNNNNNNNNNNNNNNNNNNNNNNNNNNNNNNNNNAGGAUCUAAACAUCUCCGGUGCCGCGUUUGACAAAUGUAGAUCUGGCGCCAAUCAGAUUCGCCUUGACCCCUAUUGCGUCUUCAACCCCUACUUCCAUGACCACGAGGACAAAGGCGAAGGCAAGGGCAAGGGCGACAGUAUUUGAACUUCCUCUAUUGUCCUAUGAAUUAGUAGAACAUGCCAAAUUUUGGUAGUCCGAUGGCAUGCAUUAUGAACUCCCCUAUACUAUGUCCUAGUUUGAUAUGUGCAGUAUAAACAAUGUCCUAUGUGAUGCAUGAACUAUAAAAUUGCAUGUUUGAUCCACGUUGCAUGCUUGUGUGUGAAGUUAAAGGUUUGAAUACGAAGGGACGGCUGCGGACGUGGACAAAUGAUGAGCGGCCUGCUCCUGUCUGUGGAAUACCCAUUCCGGUGCGAUCUCCUGUCGAAUACGCGCGAGCGAUGCUCGCAAUCCUCGUACGUGUGUCAGCCCAGGAUAGUACACGUUCUACUUUUGUUUUACUUUUUACUAUUGAAAAAUUUCCGUUCACUGCUUUACAGGGUUUAUUUUUCUUUUUUCAAUUUCAAUUGUUCAUUUCAUAUUUUUCACAAAUAAAGCGUAGGGUGUAUCCUAUACUCUCAUAUCACAAAAACUCAUUCCGGCAAGGGUGAGUCCGGACCUUGCCGGAGACAGGGACAAGCAGUGACGCGGGGAUGAAGAAGGAUGACGGUGCAGGUGUCGGACGGAGGUGGUCGACACUAGAGAGGGACGGGGCUUAGAGGGGUAGCCGAGGUGGCAAAGGAGCGACGGAAGGACAGGGCAUGACAGCAGAGGACACCACCAGCGAUCGUUGGUGGCGGGAGCAGGUAGUUGGCCAGGAUGGCGGAGCAACGGCCCGAGAAAGAUUGGAAGAGGAGCAGGACAAAAUGGAUCGACGGUAAAAAGGCAAAAUAAAACAAUCAAUUGCCUGACAUAUCCAUGAUCCGGCUUCUAGGCAACGGUGUUCUAUAUACAUCACUAAAUUGAGAACUAGACCCCUCACAAAAAAAUUGAGAACUAGAGAGAUGGGACGUUGGCGAGAACAACGUUCUUCCUCUCCUUCCCGACACAGAAAAUAUCUUCCAACAAAGACGAAGAGGCUACCACAUGGCCCAUGUGGUAAGCUGCCUCAAAACAAACACAGACGAAGACAAAGAGGCUGUUAACGUAUGAUUCAGUUUGGCUUAUGCGAUCGUCUUCUCACAGAAGCUGUUAACCUUUCCUCCAAAAGGGAAGUCACGGCAACCACAUGGGUGCAUAUAUAGCUCGAAAUCUCGUUCGUUUAGUGACAUACGACCAACUAUGUUUCGCCGUCCGUCCCCAUGGAUGAUUUGCGAGGUUCAAAGAGCAAGUACUUAGGCAAAGAUUGCGUAUAGAUGCUCUUACCUGGAGGAGAUGGAAGGAGGUCAACGGCGUCGUCUGCUGUUUCGGUGAUAGCACAGGCCAACAACCCAGAACAAUGGAUCCAUUC
rnacentral:lncRNA from 1 species